CAGGGAUGAUCCUCUUUCCUUAACUCACACUGCUGUGCCUUUUAAUUCAUUUCACAAUUGUGUGAGUUGAGUGCAGAGUGUCAGUCUG
rnacentral:pre_miRNA from 1 species